rnacentral:rRNA from 1 species
AACGCUGGCAGCGUGCUUAACACAUGCAAGUCGAACGGUAAGGCCCUUUGGGGUACACGAGUGGCGAACGGGUGAGUAACACGUGGGUGAUCUGCCCUGCACUUUGGGAUAAGCCUGGGAAACUGGGUCUAAUACCGAAUACACCCUGCUGGUCGCAUGGCCUGGUGGGGGAAAGCUUUUGCGGUGUGGGAUGGGCCCGCGGCCUAUCAGCUUGUUGGUGGGGUGAUGGCCUACCAAGGCGACGACGGGUAGCCGGCCUGAGAGGGUGUCCGGCCACACUGGGACUGAGAUACGGCCCAGACUCCUACGGGAGGCAGCAGUGGGGAAUAUUGCACAAUGGGCGCAAGCCUGAUGCAGCGACGCCGCGUGAGGGAUGACGGCCUUCGGGUUGUAAACCUCUUUCAGCACAGACGAAGCGCAAGUGACGGUAUGUGCAGAAGAAGCACCGGCCAACUACGUGCCAGCAGCCGCGGUAAUACGUAGGGUGCGAGCGUUGUCCGGAAUUACUGGGCGUAAAGAGCUCGUAGGUGGUUUGUCGCGUUGUUCGUGAAAACCGGGGGCUUAACCCUCGGCGUGCGGGCGAUACGGGCAGACUGGAGUACUGCAGGGGAGACUGGAAUUCCUGGUGUAGCGGUGGAAUGCGCAGAUAUCAGGAGGAACACCGGUGGCGAAGGCGGGUCUCUGGGCAGUAACUGACGCUGAGGAGCGAAAGCGUGGGGA